rnacentral:lncRNA from 1 species
AACAGCAUAAAAAUUUUUCAUUGGACAAUAUAUUCCACACAUUUGUUUUGGCGGGAAAAGUGCGAUCACCAUACUUACACGAGGGCAAAGGGGACACUGAAAAGUACAGACAGGUCAACAAAACAAACCUAUGUCGCUGGGAACUUUAUGCCUACAUAGUAUUUGUCCAUAUUCUAUCUGAAUAAAUUCGCAUUUAUGCAACCACAUGAAUACAAUAGCCAAAUGGAUCAGAAUAAAACUACAGGGACCCAGACAAAACCCCGGGACCACAUUCUGCAACCAUCAGCUAGAUCCAAAAGACUGAGAUUCAAACACCAAGCAUACCCUCAGUCUAAGAGGCAUCUGUGCCAAAACAGAAGAUCAAAUUUAGGUAUAAAAUAUAUCCCUGGUGGAAUCUGGAAGGCCCGUAAGAACAAUUCAUUGUCCCUGCAGCAGAACGUCACCGAAAAUCCUUUCUUACACUCAGCAGAGCACCUGCAACAGCUGAGAAGCUGGCCAAAUUCAACAGCCAUCAGGGCACAGAAGGCAUGCUCCCUUGGCAACAAGGCUGGGCUCGGAGUGCAAAACACCUUUCUAUUCCUACUGGGUUGAAAAUCACUGCCAAACCCGCCCUUUAACCAGAAAGGGCCAGUGAUAACUCAGUUUAUAAUGUGAACAAACCAUCUACCUGCAGUGUUCUGAACCUUUUGGAAAGAAUGCAGGAUUGUGAGGAAAGGGGGGGAGAAAAUGAACGAAUGAAUGAAUCAAUGAAUCAAUGAAUAGUGGCUUGGUCUUCCAAAUCUGCUUCACAUUCUCAUAUUCCCAAUACCCAUUUCCCGCAAAUACAUCCCGGGUCCAGGAAGAAAGUCUUUCAGCAUCUGCCUUUAAUUUGGCCCUUCUACCCUCCUCCUUCCUCCCCCCUCCUUUUCUCCUCUCCCCUCCUCCCAGCUCUUAUCCCACAAGGAAUAGGGAGGAACGAAACACACACACGCGCGCGUGCGCGCGCACACACACACACACACACACACACACACACACGGCUCCCUGUGAACAAAUGGAGAAGAGAUCAGAGAGGAAAGGAGAAGAGAAUGCGGAGGUGCACCAAACAGGAGGAAAGGGCAGUUCGCACAACGGGGCACAAAGAGAAGCCAAGAUGGCUGUCCCCGAGCUCCAGCAGGCAGGGCUGUUUCUGAUUAGGAAUCUGAUUUUCACCGAAGCUUUCUACAAAAACCAAGACUUAAGACUUCUCCAGUAGUGUGGUAAAUGCCUAGAGCUAAGAUCUGGGAGACCAAGAGAACAGUCUUGAUGGCCAUGAAGUAGCCACGUGGCUAGGAAUAAAUCAUGUAACCUUUCUGGGUCUCUGUUUUUCACUGGCAAAACAUGGGGGGGGGGGGCGGGGGGUAUGGCAGACUCAGUAAGAUUACUCCCAGCACCACUACCCCCUCC